AUCGCCAGAAGUUUGGCGAUGUAUGGGAUCAAGGGCAGGUUCAGGAUCAACAGCACGAGAUUACCAAUGAACAUGGACAUAAUGACGGCCCAGAAAAUUUGUGGCUCGUCUACCAUAAGGCGCGGACC
rnacentral:ncRNA from 1 species